rnacentral:rRNA from 1 species
UACGUAGGGUGCAAGCGUUAAUCGGAAUUACUGGGCGUAAAGCGUGCGCAGGCGGUUUUAUAAGGCAGUUGUGAAAUCCCCGGGCUCAACCUGGGAACUGCAUCUGUGACUGGAUAGCUAGAGUACGGUAGAGGGGGAUGGAAUUCCGCGUGUAGCAGUGAAAUGCGUAGAUAUGCGGAGGAACACCGAUGGCGAAGGCAAUCCCCUGGACCUGUACUGACGCUCAUGCACGAAAGCGUGGGGAGCAAACAGG